rnacentral:rRNA from 1 species
UACGUAGGCAGCGAGCGUUGUUCGGAGUUACUGGGCGUAAAGAGUGCGUAGGCGGUUUUCUAAGUUUGGUGUGAAAUCUCCCGGCUCAACUGGGAGGGUGCGCCGAAGACUGGAAGGCUUGAGUAUGGGAGAGGUAAGCGGAAUUCCUGGUGUAGCGGUGAAAUGCGUAGAUAUCAGGAGGAACACCGGUGGCGAAGGCGGGUCUCUGGGCCGAAACUGACGCUGAGGAGCGAAAGCGUGGGGAGCAAACAGG